rnacentral:rRNA from 1 species
CCCUUAGAUGUCCGUGGCCGCACGCGCGCUACACUGAAGGAAUCAGCGUGGCUUUCUCCCUGACCCGAAAGGGUUGGGAAACCCGUUGAAUCUCCUUCGUGAUAGGGAUUGGGGCUUGAAAUUGUUCCCCAUGAACGAGGAAUUCCCAGUAAGCGCGAGUCAUAAGCUCGCGUUGAUUACGUCCCUGCCCUUUGUACACACCGCCCGUCGCUACUACCGAUUGAACGGUUUAGUGAGGGCCUCGGAUUGGUCUCGGCCCGCUCUUUACCGGGCGGCGCCGUUGGUCGAGAAGACGCUCGAACUUGAUCGUUUAGAGGAAGUAAAAGUCGUAACA